UGGGGGAUAUUGCACAAUGGGCGCAAGCCUGAUGCAGCGACGCCGCGUGGGGGAUGAAGGCCUUCGGGUUGUAAACUUCUUUUGCUCUGAACAAGGCGCACUUUGGGGUGUGUUGAGUGUAGGGGUUGAUUAGCGCCGGCUAACUACGUGCCAGCAGCCGCGGUAAUACGUAGGGCGCGAGCGUUGUCCGGAAUUAUUGGGCAUAAAGGGCUUGUAGGUGGCUGGUUGCGUCUGUCGUGAAAGCUCAUGGCUUAACUGUGGGUUUGCGGUGGGUACGGGCUGGCUUGAGUGCAGUAGGGGAGGCUGGAAUUCCUGGUGUAGCGGUGGAAUGCGCAGAUAUCAGGAGGAAUACCGGUGGCGAAGGCGGGUCUCUGGGCUGUUACUGACACUGAGGAGCGAAAGCAUGGGGAGCGAACAGG
rnacentral:rRNA from 1 species